CCUACGGGUGGCAGCAGUGAGGAAUAUUGGUCAAUGGGCGCAGGCCUGAACCAGCCAAGUCGCGUGAGGGAAGACUGCCCUAUGGGUUGUAAACCUCUUUUAUAAGGGAAGAAUACUGACUACGUGUAGGCAGAUGCCCGUACCUUAUGAAUAAGCAUCGGCUAACUCCGUGCCAGCAGCCGCGGUAAUACGGAGGAUGCGAGCGUUAUCCGGAUUUAUUGGGUUUAAGGGGUGCGUAGGCGGUAUUUUAAGUUAUGGGAAAAACGUCGGGGCUUCACCUUGAUUGGCAAUUAAAACUGGAGUACUAGAGGAAAGACAGGGUAGGCGGAAUAAGUAAAGUAGCGGUGAAAUGCUAGAUAUAACUUAGAACCCCGAUAGCGAAGGCAGCUUACCAGACUGUGACUGACGCUGAAGCACGAGAGCGUGGGUAGCGAACAGGAUUAGAUACCCCAGUAGUC
rnacentral:rRNA from 1 species